rnacentral:rRNA from 1 species
CGCUAGCGACAGGCUUAACACAUGCAAGUCGAGGGGUAGCACAGGUAGCAAUACCGGGUGGCGACCGGCGCACGGGUGAGUAACGCGUAUGCAACUUGCCUAUCAGAGGGGGAUAACCCGGCGAAAGUCGGACUAAUACCGCAUGAAGCAGGGGCCCCGCAUGGGGAUAUUUGCUAAAGAUUCAUCGCUGAUAGAUAGGCAUGCGUUCCAUUAGGCAGUUGGCGGGGUAACGGCCCACCAAACCGACGAUGGAUAGGGGUUCUGAGAGGAAGGUCCCCCACAUUGGUACUGAGACACGGACCAAACUCCUACGGGAGGCAGCAGUGAGGAAUAUUGGUCAAUGGCCGAGAGGCUGAACCAGCCAAGUCGCGUGAGGGAUGAAGGUUCUAUGGAUCGUAAACCUCUUUUAUAAGGGAAUAAAGUGCGGGACGUGUCCCGUUUUGUAUGUACCUUAUGAAUAAGGAUCGGCUAACUCCGUGCCAGCAGCCGCGGUAAUACGGAGGAUCCGAGCGUUAUCCGGAUUUAUUGGGUUUAAAGGGUGCGUAGGCGGCCUUUUAAGUCAGCGGUGAAAGUCUGUGGCUCAACCAUAGAAUUGCCGUUGAAACUGGGGGGCUUGAGUAUGUUUUGAGGCAGGCGGAAUGCGUGGUGUAGCGGUGAAAUGCAU